rnacentral:lncRNA from 1 species
GCGGUGGGAAGGCUGUGCCCAUGAUCCUCGCCCCAACCCUCGGAUCUGAAGUGUCGAUCCGGGAAAUGGCUUCGGACAUCUCUUCCUCCUGCGUGUCCGGCCAUGUCUCCCUCACUAUAGCACUCAUCACCUCGUCACUAGCCUCCCUCACCUUUGCCUAAUUGGAUAGGAAAAAAAUUAUUAAUUAACAUUUUGACAUAUAUAUAAGUAAAAUUAAAAAUUCCGUAAAAAGGAAAGAGUACUUACUAUAUCCUCCUGGGAGUCAGGAUAUGCCCUCUCGUACGUAUAGACGUACUGGUUGACCUCUGGAUGUUCCCUGGCCGUCUCGUCCAUGAAGACAGCGAACGAUCUAGAACCGGCAUGAUGGUUCCUUGUGUUGCGUUGCCGGUUCUGAGCGUUCACCCGGAAACCGCCUUCAAAGAAAAAAGUAAACUAUUAGUAAAAUAUUUUAAAACGCACGUACUUAAUGAUAAAUUAACUAAUUAAUUUAUUUAAAUACCUGUUUACGAGGGUUGUUGAAUUCUGAUGUCAGAAGCCAACGCCACUCGUACUCUCUGUACUGGAACUCAGCAGGGGUAGCAGAACGUGCGUUCCUGUGCGUAGUCUAAUUGGUCCGCAACUCGUUCUUCCACUCCUUCUACCUACAGAUACAACAAAAAUAUUAGAAAUAUUAUUAAUAUGACAUACAGUUUUGUUUUUUCAUUAAUUUCCCAACGUACCUUCCCCCAUGCACAAAGUCCGCCCAGCUGCUCUUCAAGGGCUCGGGAACCUCAAACCACGCCUGCAUUUAACCGUUUAUUAGUUUAGUUUUUCCAGAAAUCUACAAUGUAAUACAUAAUAUUAUUCAGGCAUUUUAUAAACUCACCGACAUCGCGUUGUGGACCAUGUCCUUAACCUCCUGCGGGACCUCGCCCCAGUCUGACCACAACAUAGGGACUCUAUCCUUAAUGAGCGCUCCCACGCGGCCGGAGUACGUCCUCGACUUCCCGCCCGAUACUACGUCGCCAUCCCCGUCAGUAUCGAUGACAAUCCUCCCUGAGGUACCGACGAUCUUCUCGAAAGCCUUCCCUGUGACGGGGCCUCUCUUCUUUUUUGCCGGCUUCGCUCCGAAAGUGCCUAUCACAUGAUAAACCAAAUUGAUUAUUAAAAUCGGAGAAUUAUAAGAAAACACAUCAUUCAUCUUUCAUUACCUGAGGGCGAGGAGGCGGACGCGACGGAUUCCGCCUCCGAUGAUGAUACCCUCGCGGAAAUAAGAGGCGUAUCAAAAGGCACGAACUGGUACGCCGCUGAUGGAGCUAUUGGCGGGGGCAGUGGAUAAAUCGGCGUCCCUGAGUCAUCGACUACAGGUAUGGCCGGUAUCAUCCACGGAAGGAAUAGGUGAGGCGGCGGCAUCUGUACCCCAGAUGACCCACUAUCCGAAGAAGUAGGAGCUGGAGUGGGCGCCCGGUGUAUCUCAGGCAUACGGGGUGCAGACACCUCCGUCUGAGGCUGAGCAAACAACUGCCUCGAGGAAUGAGGGAAGCCCCGCUGCCUCGAUGAAGGGGCACCUCCGGCUGCCUCUGCGCCGUCUGCAGAAGGCUCGCAU